rnacentral:tRNA from 1 species
CUGUAGAGGAGCUUGGGAGCAGCUUAAUUUCGACUUAAGUUAUGGAAAAUUUAGUGA